UCUUACUUACCGUGAGAUUUAACUUUGCGUUUUUGGCAGGAUUUAGAACAAAUCUUGCUUAAAUCUUGAAUAAAUCUUGCAUCAUUCCAGCUUCCUUCCGCCACUCGAAUCACCGCAAACCAACAAAUUGAACCCUCGACCUAUUCGACGCCGGGACUGUCUUCUUCGGAAAGAACAUCAUAAUCUCAAAAAAAUGGUCCGAGAAGCCUCUUCGGACGAAGAGGACGAUAGCCAAGCCCUCGUCCCCGAGCACGAGGUGAAACCUCUGUCGCCGCGGCACGACCAGCGCCAAUUCGGUGCUUUGGAGAUCGCGAAUGGCCUUAGAGUCCAGAUCAGCCGUCGGCUUCGCUAUCGCCGAUGGCAUUGGUAUCUCCUGGCAAUCUGCCUGCCUCUUGUACUCAUCCUCGUCUUUUUCUCCCUGGAUCUCGGCCGCCUAUUCCGUGGCAUCACCAUUAUUCGUGCGGACUCUCCAGGGGAUCGGUUGCGGGAGGUUGGUGUUUGUAGGAAGGUAGAUCGACCGGAAGAUGGGAGGACGAUUGAGUGGAAGCCAAAGAAAGACCGUUUUUUGUUUGCGAUAUGUCUGUCAGGUCAGAUGUCCAACCAUUUGAUAUGCCUAGAGAAGCAUAUGUUCUUUGCUGCACUUCUUGGUCGGGUUCUGGUCUUCCCGAGCCAUAAAUUUGACUAUGACUACAGCCAAGUUUUGGACAUUAAUCAUAUAAAUCAGUGUUUGGGUAGGGAAGUUGUCAUCUCCUUUGAUGAUUUUGCGGUAAAGAUGAAGAACAAGUUGAAGAUAGAUAGGUUCAUAUGUUACAUUGCAAACCCCCCCUGUUAUCUUGAUGAAGAACACAUCAAGAGAUUGAAGAAUUUGGGGAUUUCAUUGGGAAUGAUCGAAGCUGCAUGGCCUGAGGAUGCCAAGUUAAAGAUGCAAAAGAAGAGGGUUGUAGCAGAUAUUAUGCCUAAAUUUUCUUCUGAUGAUGAAGUGAUUGCAAUAGGGGACAUGUUCUAUGCUGAUGUGGAGGAGGAGUGGGUUAUGCAGCCUGGUGGUCCCAUUGGUCACAAAUGUAAAGCUCUAAUCCAACCAAAUAGGUUGAUCCUCCUCACUGCACAGCGGUUUGUGCAGACAUUCUUAGGAAGCAAUUUCAUAGCAUUACAUUUUCGAAGGCACGGAUUUUUGAAUUUCUGCAAUGCGAAAAAAGAAAGCUGCUUCUAUCCCAUUCCCCAGGCUGCCGAAUGCAUACUCAGGGUAGUUAAACAAGCCAAUGCUCCAGUGAUCUAUCUUUCGACAGAUGCAGGCGAAAGUGAAGCAAACCUUCUACAAUCAUUGGUUGUUUUGGACAACAAGCUUGUUCCAUUGGUCAAGCGACCGAACCAUAAUAGUGUUGAGAAAUGGGACGCUUUGCUUUACAGAAACCAUAUUGGUGGAGAUCCUCAAGUUGAGGCCAUGCUUGAUAAGACAAUAUCAGCUAUGUCGACUGUGUUCAUAGGAACCUCUGGCUCGACAUUUACUGAAGAUAUACUGCGACUAAGAAGAGGAUGGGGAGUUGCAUCGCACUGCGAUGAAUACCUUUGCAAGGGUGAGCUUCCAAAUUUCAUUGCUGAAACCGAAUGAGAAUCCAGGAGCUGACAAUCAUUUAAAGAAAUGCUCUCUUCAUAAACUUCAGAGUCUCAGAAAAAUGGUCCGAUAAGCCUCUUCGGACGAAGAGGAUGAUAACCAAGCACUUGUCCCCGAGCACGAGGUGAAACCUCUGUCGCCGCGCCACAACCAGAGCCAAUUCGGUGCUUUGGAGAUCGCCAAUGGCCUUAGAGUCCAGAUCAGCCGUCGCUUCGCUAUCGCCGAUGGCAGUGGUAUCUCCUAGCAAUCUGCCUGCCCCUUGUACUCAUCCUCGUCUUUUUCUCCCUUGAUCUCGGCCGUCUAUUCCGUGGCAUCACCAUUAUUCGUGCGGACUCUCCCGGUCCCCGGAUGCGGGAGGCCGAGCGACGAGCUCUCUUCCUCCUCCGGAAUCAGGAACUAGGGCUUUUGCAUUUGUGGAAUCAGACUGUUCCUAGAUCCAGUGCGUCGGAAUUAAUGAUAGUUAUACUACUAAUUAAUUAUAAAUUUGUAAAUUAUGUUAUACGAUCAAUCAUGUAAAUUAUUAAUGAUAGUUAAUUAGUUAUACUACUAAUUAUUCAAUUAAACUAA